CAUGUACUCCCUCCGUUCGGAAUUACUUGUCGUAGAAAUGGAUGCAUCUAGAUAUAUUUUAGUUCCAGAUACAUCCAUUUCUGAGACAAGUAAUUCCGACCGGAGGGAGUACAUG
rfam:Triticum aestivum genome assembly, contig: Triticum_aestivum_CS42_TGACv1_scaffold_328316_4BS